UCCCAACGUCACAUCUAAAGGGAGACUCACCUAAAUUCAUCACAUGUGACCACUGGUGAAGGCAGGGAGUCGUCAGUUUGAGGAGCCCUGGGGUUUUUGAUCCAGCCUCCUGGGUGAGUCUCAGGUGAAGCUAUGCUGGAUUGGGAAGAGGAAAAUAAAUCAGUGGCGAGAUUCCACUGAGGUGGUGUCUGGAAGCUGUCCCACACCUCUACCAGAGAGAUUUCAAAGAUUCCAGGCUUCUUUCCCUCUUUAAGCAAUGGAAGGU